rnacentral:tRNA from 1 species
GCUCCCGUAGCUCAGGUGGAUAGAGCAACGGUUUCCAGAACCGCAGGGCGCAGGUUCGAUCCCUGCCGAGGGCGCCA